AUGACUGAUCUGGAAGCAAUGAUGGAUGAACUAGGGUUGAAGGAAGAUGAUCUCCAGGACGUGGUGAUCGAGGAUGAUGAGCUACCGGAGGAGGCGACCCGGUGGAUGGCCAUUGCGAGGGUUCACACCGAGAAGACUUAUAGUCAGUAUUGGUUUUACAGGAACAUGAGGGUCGCCUGGGACUUGGCAAAGGAAGUGAAGAUCAGGCCGCUUGAAGAUAACCUAUAUACGUUGCAGUUUGGAUGCUUGGGCGACUGGGAA
rnacentral:rRNA from 1 species